rnacentral:rRNA from 1 species
CUACGGGAUGCUGCAGUGGGGAAUUUUGCGCAAUGGGCGAAAGCCUGACGCAGCGACGCCGCGUGGAGGAUGAAGGGUUUCGUACUCGUAAACUCCUGUCAGAAAGGAUUAAAUGCUUAUAGGCUAAUAUCCUAUAAGUUUGACUUAACUUUCAGAGGAAGCCCCGGCUAAAUACGUGCCAGCAGCCGCGGUAAUACGUAUGGGGCGAGCGUUACUCGGAUUUAUUGGGCGUAAAGCGAAUGUAGGCGGUUUACUAAGUCAGUAGUGAAAUCCCCCGGCUCAACCGGGGAAUAGCUAUUGAAACUGGUAGACUUGAGGACAGGAGAGGAAAGUAGAAUUCCCAGUGUAGCGGUGGAAUGCGUAGAUAUUGGGAGGAAUACCAGAGGCGAAGACGGCUUUCUGGACUGGUCCUGACGCUGAGAUUCGAAAGCUAGGGUAGCAAACAGGAUUAGAUACCCUUGUAGUC